UACGAAGGGGGCUAGCGUUGUUCGGAAUUACUGGGCGUAAAGCGCGCGCAGGCGGUUCUUCAAGUCAGUGGUGAAAGCCCGGAGCUCAACUCCGGAACUGCCAUUGAAACUGUGGAGCUUGAGGAUGAGAGAGGUGAGUGGAAUUCCCAGUGUAGAGGUGAAAUUCGUAGAUAUUGGGAAGAACACCGGUGGCGAAGGCGGCUCACUGGCUCAUUUCUGACGCUCAGGCGCGACAGCGUGGGGAUCAAACAGG
rnacentral:rRNA from 1 species